AUACACAUAUAUAGUGAUAUAUAUAUAUCUGAUCGUAUCGCAUAAAUCGUUAGAGAUAUAUGUACAUACGUACGUAUUGAAUAUUUUUUUGCCGUUACGCGCGAAAACUAAUUUUUUUUAGUGUUACCAAAAGUGCUACCAAAAUGCCUUACAACAGCGUCACGCUUUAGUGUCACAAGUGCAACUUAUGAGAAGUCCUUAAGGACUGACCUUAUACCAUAUAAAGUUCCCGGAUACAAAAACCUCGAACAGGUGAAAUUGUUUUGAUCAGUGUUGGUGAACGACUCAAUAAAUCUUCAAUAAUUCAAGAGACAAUCAAAACAAUCGUCUUCUUCUUCUUCCGCCUUUCAAAAAUUUGCGUUUGGACAACAGGUGUGCCUUCCAUUGAAAUCGAAAGUGCACACGCAAAAGCUAAAGCUGACCGCAAGUGUCGACCGGCGGCACACCGGUGGCAAAAACAUUCGAAAGAUUUCAACGCUUUGAGCAACACGCCCGCCGAUGGAUACGCGUCGCGACUUGGCGGCAACGGCAACGGUAGCAGUGACAAUUGCACAAUUUUUUUUUAAGAACAACAACAAUAAUAAUAACAACAACAACAACAACAACAACAAGAACAAUAAUAAUAGUGGCAAUCAAGAGCCAGACAGAGCGCGUUUGCUACGCAAAUUUCCAGACGCCUUUGAAAAGCUUUAACAACUUAAAUAACUUGUGAUAAGAAAAACAAAAGAAUAUUAUUUAAACGAAAAGUCAAGUAAAAAAAUAAAGAGAAAGAAAGUGUUUCUAAUUGUUAGCAGCCCCCCAACCAGACGCCAAAGGUGCGCGCGUGUGUCCAAAACAAAAACAACAAAAAUAAAACAAAAUAUUGCAUUAAAAAAAAACCAACAAAGCGAAAAUUUAUAAAAACCUACUAUAUAUUUUUACAAGCGUAUAUACAACAAUAAAAGCAUAAAUAAACAAAUACUAAGCGGAAAAAGAAACACAUACAAAUAUUUCAUUAAAGCAGUCCAACAAAU